ensembl:misc_RNA Y_RNA Y RNA
GGCUGGUCUGAAGUUAGGCAUCUCAGUUGUUCACGGCCAGUUACAGAUUGAACUACUCUUUCCCCCUUCUCACUACUGCACUUGACUAGUCUUUU